rnacentral:rRNA from 1 species
UAGUGAGUUUGAUCCUGGCUCAGGAUGAACGCUGGCGGUCUGCUUAACACAUGCAAGUCGAACGCAAGUAGAAAUACUUGAGUGGCGGACGGGUGAGUAACGCGUGAGAAUCUGCCUUCUGGUCGGGGACAACCACUGGAAACGGUGGCUAAUACCGGAUAUGCCUAUGGGUGAAACGAUUAAUUGCCAGAAGAAGAGCUCGCGUCUGAUUAGCUAG